UGGGGAAUCUUGGACAAUGGGGGAAACCCUGAUCCAGCCAUGCCGCGUGAGUGAUGAAGGCCCUAGGGUUGUAAAACUCUUUCGGCGGGGACGAUAAUGACGGUACCCGCAGAAGAAGCUCCGGCUAACUUCGUGCCAGCAGCCGCGGUAAUACGAAGGGGGCUAGCGUUGUUCGGAAUUACUGGGCGUAAAGCGCGCGCAGGCGGUUCUUCAAGUCAGAGGUGAAAGCCCAGAGCUCAACUCUGGAAUGGCCUUUGAGACUAGAGAACUUGGGUACGGGAGAGGUGAGUGGAAUUCCGAGUGUAGAGGUGAAAUUCGUAGAUAUUCGGAAGAACACCAGUGGCGAAGGCGGCUCACUGGCCCGUUACCGACGCUCAGGCGCGACAGCGUGGGGAGCAAACAG
rnacentral:rRNA from 1 species